GAUGAAGAACGUAGCGAAAUGCGAUAAGUAGUGUGAAUUGCAGAAUUCCGUGAAUCAUCGAAUCUUUGAGCGCACAUUGCGCCUUCUGGUAUUCCGGAAGGCAUGCCUGUUCGAGAGUCAUUAACAACCGUUUCGAUCCCUUUCUUUCAGAAAUUACAAAGAGGAAAAGGGUUUGGUUAUGGUGGAGGAGGGAAAGGGAGCGUUUAGCCUGUAAAAAAAGAGGCUGUGUUCCGCCUCCCCCCCAAAAUUGUACAGGCGGUCGUGUGCGCCCACGCAUCGAGGUGUUGUAAAAGCUGCCACGGCACUUUUCACCUGUGCAGUGCGAGAUUGGCCAGCCGGUUUAAAAACCCCUCCAAACAAUCAAAGGUUGACCUCGGAUCAGGUAGGGAUACCCGCUGAACUUAAGCAUAUCAAUAAGCGGAGGA
rnacentral:misc_RNA from 1 species